AUUGAACGCUGGCGGCAUGCUUUAUACAUGCAAGUCGAACGGUAACAGGGUGCUUGCACCGCUGACGAGUGGCGAACGGGUGAGUAAUACAUCGGGAGGUACCCAGUAAUGGGGGAUAACGCAUAGAAAGGAGUGAUAAUACAGCAUACGCCCAGAGGGGGAGAGUGGGGGAACGGAAGGCUUCACGCUAUUGGAGCAGCCGAUGGCUGGUUAGCUAGUUGGUGAGGUAAAGGUGCACCAAGGCGACGAUCAGUAGCGGGUCUUAGAGGACGAUCCGCCACACUGGACUGAGACACAGGCCAGACUCCUACAGGAGGGAGCGGUGGGGAAUAUUUGACAAUGGGCGGAAGCCUGAUCCAUCCAUUCCGCGUGUGUGAAGAAGGCCUUUUGGUUGUAAAGCACUUUAAGCGAGGAGGAAGCUACCUGGAUUAAAACUCUAGGAUAGUUGACGUUACUCGCAGAAUAAGCACCGGCUAACUCUGUGCCAGCCGCCGCAGUAACAC
rnacentral:rRNA from 1 species